GGCCUGCCUUGACAGGAACUGCCUUUAAGUCUUUAACCUGUCCUCCUUCCAGGAUUUCGUCCGUGUGCCUUCUACGCAGCUGAGAAAUGCUUCAGGGAGAGCAGCUGAGGAUCCUCUGGGAAGCCCUACUGGAUCAAGUCACAGACCAGCUCUGUCCCAUAAGGCCUACCUCUGCUGUGUGUGAGCUUAUACCCAAGGAAGCCACCUUUCAUGGCUCAGCCACCAGGCCUCAGCACUUCAUUUUUUAGCAUCUGGAGCAAAAUGUCUGGAAACCUUCAUUUACUCAGAUCUCCUUGGCUGUGCAAGUUGAUGAACUACAAGACCAGUGAUUUCAUUCACCUCCAUCUUUCAGAAGGCACCACUAGAAGCUGGAUCAUUUUGCUGAAGAGCUUUCUCCAAUGAACUAUUCACAUACAGUUGCAGAUUUUCAGCCUAGAGCAGCUCUAGGCCUGGUUGAAGGAACAGAUAAAAAGACCACAGCAUAAAAUGAGUGUGAAUAAAAUGUCAAAAUCAAUGCUGAAAUUGAAAAAAAGAAAAUCUUGGUGGGAAUAGUUUAGAGUCAAACUACAAACAAAUGCAAGAUAAACAAAAAGCAAUAAAAUUAGU